rnacentral:rRNA from 1 species
AUGCCUUGCUUGGAGACAAUAGUUUUUAAUAUGGGUGCCGUCAUUGCUAAACGGCUAGCCCUGAAUCAUACAAAAGGCCCCAUAUUUGGAGGUAUCUAUGCUUCGCGUCUUGCUAGACAUUUUAGGAUACCUAUUAGGCACCAUGAGGAAGAGGAGACAACAUUGCCUCCUCACAUUUUAGAUUACAAGAGCAUGGUAGCACACAAGUUUAUUGUCGACAACGAAGAGAGGAUGCUCUUGUAUAAACUUAGAUUCAAUAAGAAACACUUUGAGAUUAUUAUUUUGCCUGCGCCUCUAUUGUUUGAUUUUCUUGCAGAAAAAUUUCUUGUCACACCGGAAGCAGUGAACAAUCAUCGAGCCCAUGCUCUUACUCCAGAACCUGAGCCGGAACCUGAACUGGACCCUUAUCAUGCAUCAUCUGUCCAAUGGGAUCCGGAGAUGACCAGCCAUGGUAUCCUGAUUACACCUCGCAUUACACGGGGAGAGUAG